UGACCUUGAAGAGAAGUCACGCAGCUGCCACAUUGUGUUUUACCGUGUACACCAACUUUCUGAUAUUAACCUCCGUGUAUGCCGCAUCUUCACGGAAUGCCCGAGAAGACAAAACCUAGGUCGGGGGCUGAGCCCAGAAAGAGGAUGUGGAAAGACCUUUGCGCGUGCUCCGCCCCGGAGUUGUCAAACCAAGUGGCGACUUGUCUCGUCUGCAGUGGUAACCCUGAAGUAGUACACACAGCCCCGAGUGUUCUGGACUUUCAGAUAAGAGACUGUCAAGUGAAAAGAAGAUGCUAAUUUUCUACGUCAAACCUGCAAAACAAAAGUGAAUUAAAUUACAUGUGGUCUGUCAGAAUGAUCUCGAGUGUACCAUUAAUAAGCUCUUUGUUGUUGCUGCUGUGGAGCGUCGUGGUUUCCACCAGAGGGAAUGCAGAACCUGGGGAGAGACUGACUUCUGCUGACCUCUGUGGGAGGAAUCUGUGUGCUAACCACCAAUUUAAAUUGCUGUACUAAAUGUAUACAUUAUAGACUAUAUGUAUGUAAUAGGGAUCUUUGUAGGAUACUGUUAUUAGUAUGAAAGUUUUCCCACAAGUAAAAGCACAGAUAAUAAACACUAAAUAAUGAUGACUAAAUUUAAUUUAGCUGUGUUAAGUUUCAGUGUUCUGGUGAUUUGCAUGGUGGCUCACUGUCACAGCUUAUUAAUAAGCCACUAAUAAUGUUUCCAGUGCUUUUCUUA